rnacentral:rRNA from 1 species
GAGUUUGAUCGUGGCUCAGGAUGAACGCUGGCGGCGUGCUUAACACAUGCAAGUCGAACGGGGUGCUCAUGAAGGAGUUUUCGGACAACGGAAUGAGUUACCUAGUGGCGGACGGGUGAGUAACGCGUGAGGAACCUGCCUUGGAGUGGGGAAUAACACAACGAAAGCUGUGCUAAUACCGCAUAAUGCAGCUGGGUCGCAUGACUCUGGCUGCCAAAGAUUUAUCGCUCUGAGAUGGCCUCGCGUCUGAUUAGCUAGUAGGCGGGGUAACGGCCCACCUAGGCGACGAUCAGUAGCCGGACUGAGAGGUUGGCCGGCCACAUUGGGACUGAGACACGGCCCAGACUCCUACGGGAGGCAGCAGUGGGGAAUAUUGGGCAAUGGGCGCAAGCCUGACCCAGCAACGCCGCGUGAAGG